rnacentral:rRNA from 1 species
CUACGUGCCAGCAGCCGCGGUAAUACGUAGGUCCCGAGCGUUGUCCGGAUUUAUUGGGCGUAAAGCGAGCGCAGGCGGUUUGAUAAGUCUGAAGUUAAAGGCUGUGGCUCAACCAUAGUUCGCUUUGGAAACUGUCAAACUUGAGUGCAGAAGGGGAGAGUGGAAUUCCAUGUGUAGCGGUGAAAUGCGUAGAUAUAUGGAGGAACACCGGUGGCGAAAGCGGCUCUCUGGUCUGUAACUGACGCUGAGGCUCGAAAGCGUGGGGAGCGAACAGGAUUAGAUACCCUGGUAGUCCACGCCGUAAACGAUGAGUGCUAGGUGUUGGAUCCUUUCCGGGAUUCAGUGCCGCAGCUAACGCAUUAAGCACUCCGCCUGGGGAGUACGACCGCAAGGUUGAAACUCAAAGGAAUUGACGGGGGCCCGCACAAGCGGUGGAGCAUGUGGUUUAAUUCGAAGCAACGCGAAGAACCUUACCAGGUCUUGACA